GGGGAGGUUACAUGGCAAGUCGAGGGGCAUCGGGAGGGAAGCUUGCUUUCCUUGCCGGCGACCGGCGCACGGGUGAGUAACACGUAUGCAACCUGCCCUCUUCAGGGGGACAACCUUCCGAAAGGGAGGCUAAUCCCGCGUAUAUCGGUUUCGGGCAUCCGAGAUCGAGGAAAGAUUCAUCGGAAGAGGAUGGGCAUGCGGCGCAUUAGCUUGACGGCGGGGUAACGGCCCACCGUGGCGACGAUGCGUAGGGGUUCUGAGAGGAAGGUCCCCCACACUGGUACUGAGACACGGACCAGACUCCUACGGGAGGCAGCAGUGAGGAAUAUUGGUCAAUGGGAGAGAUCCUGAACCAGCCAAGCCGCGUGAGGGAAGACGGCCCUAUGGGUUGUAAACCUCUUUUGUCGGAGAACAAAACCCGGGACGUGUCCCGGACUGCGUGUAUCCGAAGAAAAAGCAUCGGCUAACUCCGUGCCAGCAGCCGCGGUAAUACGGAGGAUGCGAGCGUUAUCCGGAUUUAUUGGGUUUAAAGGGUGCGUAGGCGGUCCGUUAAGUCAGCGGUAAAAUUGCGGGGCUCAACCCCGUCGAGCCGUUGAAACUGGCAGACUUGAGUUGGCGAGAAGUACGCGGAAUGCGCGGUGUAGCGGUGAAAUGCAUAGAUAUCGCGCAGAACUCCGAUUGCGAAGGCAGCGUACCGGCGCCAGACUGACGCUGAGGCACGAAAGCGUGGGGAUCGAACAGGAUUAGAUA
rnacentral:rRNA from 1 species